rnacentral:rRNA from 1 species
UACGUAGGGACCAAGCGUUGUUCGGAUUUACUGGGCGUAAAGGGCGCGUAGGCGGCGUGACAAGUCACUUGUGAAAUCUCUGAGCUUAACUCAGAACGGCCAAGUGAAACUGUUGUGCUAGAGUGCAGAAGGGGCAAUCGGAAUUCUUGGUGUAGCGGUGAAACGCGUAGAUAUCAAGAGGAACACCUGAGGUGAAGACGGGUUGCUGGGCUGACACUGACGCUGAGGCGCGAAAGCCAGGGGAGCAAACGGG